CCAGACUCCUACGGGAGGCAGCAGUGGGGGAUAUUGCACAAUGGGGGGAGCCCUGAUGCAGCGACGCCGCGUGGGUGAAGGAGCGUUUCGGCGCGUAAAGCCCUAUCGGCAGGGAAGAAGGAGGACGGUACCUGACUAAGAAGCCCCGGCUAACUACGUGCCAGCAGCCGCGGUAAUACGUAGGGGGCAAGCGUUAUCCGGAUUUACUGGGCGUAAAGGGGGCGCAGACGGCAGCGCAAGCCAGGAGUGAAAGCCCGGGGCCCAACCCCGGGACUGCUUUGGGAACUGUUUUGCUGGAGUAUGGGAGGGGUAAGCGGAAUUCCUGGUGUAGCGGUGAAAUGCGUAGAUAUCAGGAGGAACACCGGUGGCGAAGGCGGCUUACUGGACCAUAACUGACGUUGAGGCUCGAAAGCGUGGGGAGCGAACAGGAUUAGAUACCCCGGUAU
rnacentral:rRNA from 1 species